rnacentral:lncRNA from 1 species
AAAAUUUGACAAAGUAUUUACUUUGACCAUUUAACAAAAAUAUAAAAAUAUCAAAAAUUUUGAACCAACCAUUUUAUCAGAAAAAUUACACUGGUUAUAUAGCAGUUUGACAAAUACCAAUUUUGAUCAUUGAGAAACUUUAUGUUCCCUUUACAACACAACGUAAUUAAAACGUUUAGCUGACUUUAAAGAGUUAUCUCCCUUUAGUGUUAGG